rnacentral:rRNA from 1 species
AUUGAACGCUGGCGGCAGGCCUAACACAUGCAAGUCGAACGAGUGGCGGACGGGUGAGUAAUGUCUGGGAAACUGCCUGAUGGAGGGGGAUAACUACUGGAAACGGUAGCUAAUACCGCAUACCAUCAGAUGUGCCCAGAUGGGAUUAGCGAGUAGGUGGGGUAACGGCUCACCUAGGCGACGAUCCCUAGCUGGUCUGAGAGGAUGACCAGCCACACUGGAACUGAGACACGGUCCAGACUCCUACGGGAGGCAGGAGGGGGGAAUAUUGCACAAGGGGCGCAAGCCUGAUGCAGCCAUGCCGCGUGUAUGAAGAAGGCCUUCGGGUUGUAAAGUACUUUCAGCGGGGAGGCGUUACCCGCAGAAGAAGCACCGGCUAACUCCGUGCCAGCAGCCGCGGUAAUAC